rnacentral:lncRNA from 1 species
AGAGAACAAACUACCAAUUAACGAGCGAGGAAACAGGGCCAGAGAAUUGGAACAAAAUACAAGGCUGCCUCUGAAAGUAAUUUGCAAGCAGAUGGAACUUCAAUAUGGCAAUAGAGAAAGAAUCAAUUAGACCAGAGUCUCCUCAGGAAGACUUUCUAUAGAUAUCUGGUGAGCAUCUGCUAGAUGCCAGGGUUGGGGAGAGUCAAGUUGAAGCAAGCAUGAACCCUCAAGGACCUACCAUUUCAAGGCAAGAAAUAGAUACAAAUACAGCGUAAUUAUCUCUCCAAUUAAAGAGCAACCAAGGGACAACUGAACUGGAGGUUCUGCAGAAUUACAACUAAGCACGCAGCCGAGGAAUCUACUCAGCUUUGAUCUCUUAUCGCUCUGCACACACAGCCCUUUCUCUGUAAGGCUAGCUGCUCUCAGCAUCACUGUGUCUAAUCAAACGUGUCACACCUCCACUGAGAAAAUAUUUACUGGAUAGCUACUAGACAUAAGGAUGCAGAAAUGAAUUAGAAAAAUUCCUCGCCCUUGUUCAAAGCUAUGCUGGCUCUUAGAACAUCUGAGCCCCCACUGUUUCAUCUUUAGAGGAUCCCAGCUGCUGGGGUGUGAGGCCAGUGCUGGAGCCAGCAGUCUCUGACCCAGAAGGGACCUGAGGUGCUAAAGAAAAUUCUGGAGGCUGAGAAGUCCAAAACCAAGUCACCAGCAGAUUCAGCGUCUGGUAAUGGUCCACUUCUUGGUUCACAGAUGGCUAUCUUUUCACUGUGUCCUCACAUGGUGGAAGGGCCAAGGGAGCUCUAUGGGGUCUCUUCUAUAACAGCAUUAACCCCGUUCGUGAGGGCUCCAUCCUCAUGACCUGAUCACAUACCAAAGUUGUUUUCACUUCCCAAAGACCCCACCUCCAAAUACUAUCACAAUUGGGGUUAGAUUUCAACCUAUGAAUUUGUGGGGGGCACACAAUCUUUAGUCAGGGUUUGUGGGAACAAUAUGACCUUGGUCAGGUCCCUUUAUCUUUGCACCUUAUUUUCUCUUUGCCCAAAUAAAGAAUACUUGAUAUUCC